UACGUAGGGGGCUAGCGUUGUCCGGAAUCAUUGGGCGUAAAGGGUGUGUAGGCUGUUAUAUUAGUCCCGUGUUAAAACCUUCGGCCUAACCGAAGAUCUGCAUAGGAAACGGUAUAACUAGAGGAUGCGAGAGGUGAACAGAACUCAUAGUGUAGGGGUGAAAUCCGUUGAUAUUAUGGGGAAUACCAAAUGCGAAGGCAGUUCACUGGCGCACUCCUGACGCUGAAACACGAAAGCGUAGGUAGCGAAUGGG
rnacentral:rRNA from 1 species